rnacentral:rRNA from 1 species
UACGUAGGGUGCAAGCGUUGUCCGGAAUUAUUGGGCGUAAAGAGCUCGUAGGCGGUUUGUUGCGUCGGCUGUGAAAACUCGAGGCUCAACCUCGAGACGUCGGUUGAAACCGUAUGGCUAGAGUCCGGAAGAGGAGAGUGGAAUUCCCGGUGUAGCGGUGAAAUGCGCAGAUAUCGGGAAGAACACCCGUGGCCGAAGGCGGCUAGCUCGUGGACGUACUG